rnacentral:rRNA from 1 species
ACUCAAAUGAAUUGACGGGGACCUGCACAAGCGGUGGAGCGUGUGGUUUAAUUCGAUACUAAGCGAAGAACCUUACCAAGGUUUGACAUCUCUGGAAAGCCCCGGAAACGGGGCCGUGCCGCAAGGAACCAGAAGACAGGUGCUGCACGGUUGUCGUCAGCUCGUGCCGUGAGGUGUCCCGUUCAGUCGGUUAACGAGCGCAACCCCUACUCUGUGUUACAUUUCUCACAGAGAACUGCCCUGGUUAACAGGGAGGAAGGUGGGGACGACGUCAAAUCAGCGUGGCUCUUACACCUUGGGCGACACACGCGCUACAAUGGGUAGUAACAAUGGGUUGCCAAGCCGCAAGGCGGAGCUAAUCCCACCAAACCUACCCCCAGUUCGGAUUGAGGGCUGCAACUCGCCCCCAUGAAGUCGGAAUCGCUAGUAACGGCCGGUCAGCCAUACGGCCGUGAAUACGUUCUCAGGUCUUGUACACACCGCCCGU